rnacentral:rRNA from 1 species
UGGGGAAUUUUCCGCAAUGGGCGAAAGCCUGACGGAGCAAUACCGCGUGAGGGAGGAAGGCCUUUGGGUUGUAAACCUCUUUUCUCAGGGAAGAAGAAAGUGACGGUACCUGAGGAAUCAGCAUCGGCUAACUCCGUGCCAGCAGCCGCGGUAAUACGAAAGGGGCUAGCGUUGUUCGGAAUUACUGGGCGUAAAGCGCGCGUAGGCGGCAUGCCAAGUUGGGGGUGAAAUCCCUGGGCUCAACCCAGGAACUGCCUCCAAAACUGGCAAGCUAGAGGAUGUGAGAGGAUAGUGGAAUUCCGAGUGUAGAGGUGAAAUUCGUAGAUAUUCGGAAGAACACCAGUGGCGAAGGCGACUGUCUGGCACAUUUCUGACGCUGAGGUGCGAAAGCGUGGGGAGCAAACAGGAUUAGAUACCCCCGUAGUCC